rnacentral:rRNA from 1 species
GGAAUAUUGGACAAUGGGCGCAAGCCUGAUCCAGCCAUGCCGCGUGAGUGAUGAAGGCCUUAGGGUUGUAAAGCUCUUUUAGCGGGGACGAUAAUGACGGUACCCGCAGAAAAAGCCCCGGCCAACUUCGUGCCAGCAGCCGCGGUAAUACGAAGGGGGCUAGCGUUGCUCGGAAUCACUGGGCGUAAAGCGCACGUAGGUGGGUCGCUGAGUCGGUGGGUAAAUCCUGGAGCUCAACGCCAGAACUGCCUUCGAUACUGGCGAUCUUCGAGUCCGGGAGAGGUGGGUGGAACUGCGAGUGUAGAGGUGAAAUUCGUAGAUAUUCGCAAGAACACUAGUGGCGAAGGCGGCUCACUGGCCCGGUACUGACACUGAGGUGCGAAAGCGUGGGGAGCAAACA